GACAACGCUGGCGGCGUGCCUAACACAUGCAAGUCGAACGGAGAUAUGAUUUCGGUUAUAUCUUAGUGGCGAACGGGUGAGUAACGCGUGAGCAACCUGACCUUCAGAGGGGGAUAACACCUGGAAACAAGUGCUAAUACCGCAUAAGACCACGACAUGACAUCAUGACGAGGUCAAAGGAGCAAUCCGCUGAGGGAGGGGCUCGCGUCCCAUUAGAUAGAUGGCGGGGUAACGGCCCACCAUGUCGACGAUGGGUAGCCGAGCUGAGAGGCUGAUCGGCCACACUGGAACUGAGACACGGUCCAGACUCCUACGGGAGGCAGCAGUGGGGAAUAUUGGGCAAUGGGCGCAAGCCUGACCCAGCAACGCCGCGUGAGGGAAGAAGGCUUUCGGGUUGUAAACCUCUGUCCUUGGUGACGAAAAAAAUGACGGUAGCCAAGGAGGAAGCCCCGGCUAACUACGUG
rnacentral:rRNA from 1 species